UUUCCGUAGGUGAACCGGCGGAAGGAUCAUUAUUGUAUAACCGAGGUGCGAGGGCUGUCGCUGACCCGAAAGGUCGUGCACGCCCGAGUGCCCUCACACACAUCCAUCUCACCCCUAUGUGCACCACCGCGUGGAUCCCCCUUUGGCUUGUUCGGAGGGGGGCUUACGUUUUCACACAAACUUUGUAUGCAGUGUAGAAUGUAUUUUUUGUUCUUGCGAUCACGCAAUCAAUACAACUUUCAACAACGGAUCUCUUGGCUCUC
rnacentral:misc_RNA from 1 species